UGCAUUUUAGGACUUCUCCUCAUACCGCUCCUUUAAUUUUUCGUAUCUUUCUUUGGAUUCAUAGAGAUUCCGUGUCCUCCCAAAUGCUUUGAAUCUAUAAGACCUCCAACCAUUCACGGUUGGGCCGACAAAACUUGUCCACUUCUUUGAUGGAAUCUUCAUCCAUCCCUUUAAAAGAAGGUGGCUGACAACGACACCCAAUUGAAUCAUUAAACCACUUGCACUGCCCGCUAUAGUUAAAUUCUGUAAUGGAGAUGCGUUGUCUUCCCAUACAAGGCAAAACACUAAGCAAAUUGAUCAUUUUCCCUCCCCUUCCCUAUCUCAGGCUGCUCCACUGUUCUAAUACCCGUGAGAGUCCUACAAGCCUUACAACUUCACUACGACAGAAUGGACAACGAGACAAGAGAAAAGAUCACUGGCUUCACAGCUUUAAGAGAAGCUGCGGCUAGUGCCAGAACAACAAAGUCACAUACCGAUAAGACAAGUCAUCUGGAAGCGACAGCGGCGGUGGAGGCGGCGACGACGGCGGCGAGCAGCCAAAUCGACGUGGGUCUUCCUCAAGAAUGGACGUACUGAAAAAUAGCUUCACCAAUCCACGAGAGGGCAUUUAGAUGAAAUCCUUGGGUAAUAAUUUUCCGUUAGGGGCAAAACCGUAAAUAAUGUUUGGGAAAUUAAUACUGCAAUGUGAAAAAAAA